CUUGCCCAUAUUUUCCCCUCGUCCCCUCUUCCUCCAGACUGAACCUAACACUGUCCAUGUGCCUGUGUGGUAUGUGUGCCCCUCUUGGGAACGGCAACCUCAUCACCUGCUCCAAGUGCCCAGGAUGACACCACAGAGCAGCAAAAGGGCUGAUGAAGCAUGAGGCACCUCCAAGGUGUUUGAUGCGAAGUCAAACUGAGUCUCAUUCAGUCUUGCUGCCCAAGCGUUCCUGUUGUGUUCUCUAUGGAUUGCUGUGCGUGUUCCUGCUGUCCUUCCUGUUUGUUCUCCUGAGAUUUGGGGGCAGAGCUGCACGAGUGCUGGUUUGUGAACGUAUUGGACGUCAAGCUCAUGGGCCUGAGCUGCACUGCUGCCAUGGGAGAUGCCUCAGUACCAAAUAUCCAAGCCUCAUGCACACAGGAUCCCGAUGUGUCAUCCACUUCUCCCAACAAUCAAACUAGCUCGGGACUGCCCAUCCCCGCUGGAGAUCAAACUUGCCCUGUUUUCCUGGCUGGGGCCCUCCUCCUAGGCACUGCUCAGCCGCAGCUCGGCACAUUGGAUCUGAAAUCUUCAUGGAACUGCAAACAGCCCUGCACACCCACGGGUGUGAGGAACACGUGCCGUGCAUGUGAAACACCAGCAUCCUGUGAGCUGUUCUCACCUCCAGGCUUACAAGGACACAGCACAGAGCCCACGUGCUGUGGCUACAGUGGACACCGACCAGCAGAGAGGUCAGGGCCUGCAGAAGAUUAUGGUUGCAAAUUCUGUGGGGUGCAUUUCAUAAGCAACAUGUAAUUUUCACUCCGGUUACUGACUCAGUAAAGUUGCAGGCUACCAUAAAGUAUCUUGUCCUCUACCCCCAGAGCUCCAGUCUAGUCCCU